GUUAUACAAUAAAUAUAAUUUAAUAUUUUUGGUUUUUGAAGUUAAAAAUUUAUUUUUGAAUUUAAUAUAAUUGUUUUAAAGGUGAAAUUUAUAUUUUUAUUAAUUUUAUUUCUUUUUUGAUUCUUCGAAAUAUAUAAAAUAAACUAGGAUUAGAUACCCUAUUAUAAUAUAUUUGAAUUUUUAGCCUGGGUAAUAAUAGUUAUGUUCUUUAAACCUAAAGAAUUUGGCGGUGUUUUAGUCUAUUUAGAGGAAUUUGCUCUUUAAUCGAUAGUCCUCGAUUUAUCUUACUUUGAUUGGUUAUCAGUAUGUAUACCGCCGUUAUAAGUUUAUUUUAUUAGAAAAUUAAUUUACUUGAUUCUUUUUUUUGAAUUAUUUC
rnacentral:rRNA from 1 species